CUAGUGGUUCCACUCGUUGUUCAUGAAUAAAAAAAGAUCACUGCAGCUGCACUGCUUGCUUGAAUUGACAGUUUUACAGUUACUUGAACGGAGUACGACGCUAUACAUUUUAAACAUCCCGCAUGACAUCAAGGCUUACUUUGCAGAACUGUUCGGGUCGAUAGGGUGCGAAGUUCUGGUUACGGUUGGUGUAUGGGGUCCUUUCUUCUACUGCCAAUGGCCAAGCGGGACAUCGUACGCUGCCGCUACGAGGGACAACACCAGCACAUAACGCAGGAGGGCCCAAGAGUUUGAGCAUCAUACCUUGACAACAUUAAAG